rnacentral:lncRNA from 1 species
UUUUAGCCCCACUUGGAGACCUCUGAGGAGGGGAGAGGUGCUGGCGUUGAAUUAAGCAUUAAGGCCAAUGAUAUAAUCAGUCAUGCCUACACAAUGAAGCCUCCAUAAAAAUCCCUCAACUAUGGGGUUCAGAGAGCUUCCAGAUCAGGAAACUGAAGCUUAGAGAAUGUAAACAACCAUCUAUGAACACAGAUCUUCCUGGCUGUGGUGUCCUUGCUACCGGACAAUAUCUUUCAAUGUAAAUUUUUUCCAGUUUUUUUCUUAAGAAGUAUCGGAACAUAGAGCCCAGCAGUAUUAAUGAAACUUUAUUGUGCUUACUCUAUGCCAGGCACAAGCAUCACCUCAAUCUUCCCAAUAAUUCUCUGAGAAUGGCACAUGGCAUCUGUCGAUCCAAAAUCUUGGAAGAUCCUAAGAGUCAUCAUUAGGUCUUGGUCUUUUCUCCCGGUAGACCCCUUUUCACCUUUCAGCUUUCUACUGUUGCAAAUUGAUAUUUGACUGAUGACUGAGUACCCAGAAGAGAGCCUUCGUCAGGUCAAGACUUCAGGACCUGAUGAAGCUGAGAUUGCAAGACACUGCACAAUGGGACCUUUCUAGACUGCACAGACCGCUCAGGUCAGAGAACAUCACUCUCCACGAUAGUUUUCUGCAUUUGCUUUAAUACAAAAUGAACUCUUCUUCGCAUAUGAACUCUGAGAAGAACAUUGACUGACGUCAAACUAUUCAGUAUUUCCCAAAACAUGCAUUUUAACAACAGGGUAUGUUUAGAAGACAGAAUUCAGCUUUAAUUGGUUACUUACAAUUCUGAUGGUUUUUAUUUGCCAUGUCUCCUUUUUCCUUUCAUCCUUUAAAAGGAACCAAUCCUCUUGACCUGAUGAAGCUCAGAAUAAUGAGUACAUUUUCAAAAGCAUGCUGUUUACCGAAGCAAAGAGCAAUUUUAUAAAAUCCUACAAAAUUUCAAUGUAAAACCACCAUGAGAAACCAGAAGAAACCAAAUUUUGAGAGAACCACCCCAAAAUAAAUAAAUAAAUUUUGAAGGCUACUAGUUACAAGGUGUCAUGUUCAGUAUUUUGUAAAUGUGUCCUUAUUUAAUUCUUUCCCAAAAUACCUUGGGUAAAUUGUAAGGAGAAGGCUCAGUAAGAUUAAUUUGUUCUUGAUCAAAUAUGCUAAGAUGCUGGUUUAGGAUUUGAACCAAUAUCUAUCUGAAUCUAAAAUAUAUACUCUUUCCAUAAUAUUUUGUUACCCACAGAGUAUGCUAUUGUUAAACUCUAGGGCCACCUUGAAUUUGUGACGAAAAAUAGAUUGGAGUUUUAUUUUUAAGGAGAGGGUUAAAAAUAUGUGGACUUUUUUUUUCUCUUUCAGAAAUUGAAUCAUGCACUA